UUUAAAAGGUGGAUUUUCCUUCUAUGUUUAUGUAUUUGUGGUUAAACAUAGAGGAAAAUCCACAUUUUCAG
rfam:Oryctolagus cuniculus unplaced genomic scaffold chrTn0352, whole genome shotgun sequence.